GACCCGUUCGUCUAGAGGCCUAGGACACUGGCCUUUCACGCCGGCAACACGGGUUCGAAUCCCGUACGGGUCGCCA
rnacentral:tRNA from 1 species